rnacentral:rRNA from 1 species
UCUUGGUCAAUUAGAGGAAGUAAAAGUCGUAACAAGGUUUCUGUAGAAAAAGAUCCUUCUUUGAAGCCUCUCACACAACGACUAUAACCAUGUGUGCAGUCUGCCCUCACGGCAGGCGACGUCACCCAGGUGCUGGAAUACUCGCGGGUAAAUCAGCAGCCGAUGUUAAUCGUCAAGAUUACACGCGGUUCACAGAUUAGAUGGUGGCGGUCAGUCAAUCAGAUGCCUUUGUGGGGUAAGAGACGGGAGGGUUUUUAGUUCACAUCCAACUGGACAGGGACUCUUUUGUAGUGACUGCCUAAUAUGAACUAACAACCCUUGUUUUCAAGGUAUCCUGAAUCUGAUCAAGAUGUAAUCGGUCGCUACUAUCUUGUAUGAAGUUGAGAAACGUUCCGUAGGUGAACCUGCGGAAGGAUCAUUA